GUGGACGCCAGUCUGCAUGGAGCCGACCUUGAAAUACCACCCUUUAAUGUUUGAUGUUCUAACGUGGAUCCGUAAUCCGGGUUGCGGACAGUGUCUGGUGGGUAGUUUGACUGGGGCGGUCUCCUCCUAAAGAGUAACGGAGGAGCACGAAGGUUGGCUAAUCCUGGUCGGACAUCAGGAGGUUAGUGCAAUGGCAUAAGCCAGCUUGACUGCGAGCGUGACGGCGCGAGCAGGUGCGAAAGCAGGUCAUAGUGAUCCGGUGGUUCUGAAUGGAAGGGCCAUCGCUCAACGGAUAAAAGGUACUCCGGGGAUAACAGGCUGAUACCGCCCAAGAGUUCAUAUCGACGGCGGUGUUUGGCACCUCGAUGUCGGCUCAUCACAUCCUGGGGCUGAAGUAGGUCCCAAGGGUAUGGCUGUUCGCCAUUUAAAGUGGUACGCGAGCUGGGUUUAGAACGUCGUGAGACAGUUCGGUCCCUAUCUGCCGUGGGCGCUGGAGAACUGAGGGGGGCUGCUCCUAGUACGAGAGGACCGGAGUGGACGCAUCACUGGUGUUCGGGUUGUCAUGCCAAUGGCACUGCCCGGUAGCUAAAUGCGGAAGAGAUAAGUGCUGAAAGCAUCUAAGCACGAAACUUGCCCCGA
rnacentral:rRNA from 2 species